UUGCUACUCCCUCCGUUCCUAAAUAUAAGUCUUUUAAGAGUUUUUACUAAAAAAACUACAUACGGAUGUAUAUAGACAUACAUUAGAGUGUGGAUUCAAUCAUUUUGCUCCGUAUGUAGUCCCAUAUAGAAAUAUCUAAAAAGACUUAUAUUUAGGAACGGAGGGAGUAUUUG
rnacentral:pre_miRNA from 1 species